GGCACAAGCUGAAUCCUCCUUCCAUCGAACACUGGUGGGCGAUGCACGCAGCUGCAAAGUUUAUUUCCCCAAUGCAACUAAGCUUCAGGCGCUCCAGUCUCACAGCGGAAUGCAGAUGCCAAGAGCAAAAACCCCGGGACACCAGAGAGGUCGUGCACGUGAGUGCAGGUGAAUGAAACAGGGCAGUUUGCGAGCUUUGAGCAGGAAAGUAGCAAAUGGUGCCUUCAGACGCUGAAACCCCGCACAACCCCCUCCCCUCCCCACUACACCCCCUGCUGCUGACUCCACCCAUGUGGAAUGGAAAACAAGAGGCAACUUGAGGCAACCAAUGAACGAAGCAAAGGAAAAGCGCCUGUUGCCAGGCGAUGCCAACUGAAAGGAGAACGUGAAGAACUAAGGGAGCCCGAUGAACUCAAAAGCCAAACUCCUCUGCCAUGCACCGGGUCAACGCUUUAAUGGAACUAUUCACCACCACUACCACCCCAAGAUCCCUUUCCCAGGAUCAGUUGGUAAGACCUCAUCUGCAUAUGUUGUAAACCACCUAAAGGUUUUGGGGUGUUGUUGUUUUACAAUCAAGUGGUACAGUGAUUGGUUACUUUUUAACUUGCAUCACCACUAUUUGCCUCAAUUCUGUCAGAUUACGUUCCUGA